UUCGUCCUACGGGGGGCAGCAGUGAGGAAUAUUGGUCAAUGGGCGGAAGCCUGAACCAGCCAAGUCGCGUGAGGGAAGAAGGCCCUGCGGGUCGCAGACCUCUUUGGAUGGGGAGCAAGGCCGCCGACGUGUCGGCGGAAGGAGAGUACCCGUAGAACAAGCAUCGGCUAACUCCGUGCCAGCAGCCGCGGUAAUACGGAGGAUGCGAGCGUUAUCCGGAUUUAUUGGGUGUAAAGGGAGCGCAGGCGGCACGGCAAGCCUGAUGUGAAAGCCCGCGGCCCAACCGCGGGACUGCAUUGGGAACU
rnacentral:rRNA from 1 species